rnacentral:lncRNA from 1 species
AUAACCCUUUGAUAUUUCAUUUUUAAAUAAGAUGUCCAAGCUUCUUACCUACUCAUGACAAACACAUCAGAUGCACUAUAUGGAAAUACUGCAACGUCAUCACCGCUCCUAACGUUCACAACAUGGGCAAUAACUGGUGCUUGUGCUGGUGCAGUUUCCCUGAUCCUGAUCAUUACAGUCAUCUGUGGAAUAUGCAAGUCAGCUAAAAUAUCCGUACUUUGCGGACAUACCUAUACACGUCCUCUACAAGCUGUUCAAGUAGAACCUAUGGAAAAUGAAGAAACUCGAAUGUAGAUACCACUGAAUAACAAGGAACUUCAUUAUUCUACGCCGUGAAAAUCUGUACAAUCGACUCUUGCAGCUAAAGGUUGUGGAGUAGAUACACGGUGCAUAUUUACAACAUAUUCUUUUAAACGUUGUACAGAAACGUAGUGUGAAUAAACCAAGCCUGAAUUAUA